rnacentral:rRNA from 1 species
GGCGAACUUGGGGCCGGCGGCCGCAGGAGGACGAAGGGGGCAGUCGUUACUGGGAAGUACUAGGCGUAAAGCGUGCGUAGGUGGUUGUUUAAGUCUGUCGUGAAAGCCCUGGGCUCAACCUGGGAACUGCGAUGGAAACUGGGCGACUAGAGUGUGGUAGAGGGUAGCGGAAUUCCUGGUGUAGCAGUGAAAUGCGUAGAUAUCAGGAGGAACAUCCAUGGCGAAGGCAGCUACCUGGGCCAACACUGACACUGAGGCACGAAAGCGUGGGGAGCAAACAGGAUUAGAUACCUUGUAGUC